AAUCAAGCUUCCUAUUUGAGUUUUGAAAUCAGAGAGAGAGCUCGGGAGGGAGGAGCCGAGAACAGGGGAGGAGAUCGCGAGAGCUAGAGAGCAUGGCUGAGAGAGCUCGCGUGAGAGAGAGUGUGUGAGAGAGCUUGAAGGCCGCUUCCGUGGCUGAUGAAGAAAAACAGUGGCGGCUUGAAGAAACUGCGGCCAUGGCCGCUGUUGCUGGAGCUCGGGGCAAGGUUGGAAGUAGCGAUGGCCGGCCAAUGAGGGCGAAGGUGAUUGGAGAACCAACGGGCGGCCGCGACAAGGUGGCCAGGAGCUUCGCCGAUCGGCCAUGGCAGCAACACGCAGGGGAAACCGACGCUGGCAGCGGGCUCACGACGGUCUGGGGCUGUGCGGUACGGCCAGCGGUGGCUUGGCGGCGAGAAGUUGCUGGGAAGGGCGAGUUGGUGGUCAGCGGCGGCCGGCGUGCGUAGGUGAGCUGCUGUGUACGGGUGCAUGAGAAGAAGAAGAAUAAGAAGGGCGCGCGGGAAAGGAGGAGGAAGAAGAAGAAGUAGUGGAGAAGAAAAGAAUAUAAAAGAAAAAGAAAUAAAAGAAAGAAAAGAAAUAUGGAAAAAUGGGAAAAAUAGGAGAAAAUCUCAAAAAAUUUCAGAAAAAUUGGGGAAAGUUCUAGAAAUUAAUUUGGGGCCCGAGGAGCGUGUUAGAAGCUCAAAAAUGGGAUUUUGGACUUAAAGUGGCAGCUAAAGAGGUAGCGCCGAUGUAGGCAAUUGGUCGAACUUCUUCUCCAGAUUAAUCGAGGUGGAUUUGCGGUAUUCGGCGUAGUUGAGGGCAUUGGUUGAACGCCGAAUGUUAAUGGAGUUGGGUUUGUGUGUGUUUGCAUCUAGGUUCGAUCGGGGAGGCGGUGAUCUUAGAAGAGCUUGAGGUUCAGGCUGGAGUACGUGCCGAGGCAGAGAUGAGGCCUCGAGCCAAGUAAGGGAUGGCUCCAUGUAGAGGUGGCCUUGCAAGCUGCUAAACUGAGAGAAAUGAAUUUGCUGGUUGGAACUUCAUAUUCCGUUCCAGAUGGGCUAGAAAGGAUACUGGUUUACACCAAGGAUUAAUUAAUACAAAAAUCCAAAACUGUAUAUCACAGAGAAUGGCAUGGCAUAUUAGGACAAUCAAAUAAUUGCCAGCAACAUCAAGGAUCCAGAAAGGAUUGAGUUCUACCAUGCCCAUCUUUCAGCUGCUGAAGCAGCUUUUUGGUACAUGAAAUUCUUGGCUCCUUAAUACAAGUUUUAAGAGUUUGAAGAGAAGGAUUGUUGUGUUAUCCCUUUUAUCAAUAAGUGAGGAUGAGCUCUUGGGAGCGCUCACAGUCUAUUGAGUUAGGACUAAUAAAUUGCACGAUUGAGUGUUUUGAUCACUUGAUGGGGCUAUCAGAUUGAGUCUUCCAUCUUGUGUAUCUUCAAAAUAUUUUCAAUAAAUUAAUUUGCAUGAUUAUUUUCAUAGCACUUCUCCAUUUUAUGUGUUGUGCAAUCUUUAGAGGCCAAGCAACACGAAGCUUGAAGUAUUGUAGUAGUGAUUUUUUUUUUUUUCAAUUUUUUUGAGGCCAAUAGGAAUGGUAGAGAUGGAAACAAAAUUACAUCUCUAAAAAUCAGUAAGAGACAAAAUUUUUAGAGGCGGAAAAUUUGUUUGUCUCUAAAAUAAGAGACAAAAUUCAUUUCCACCUCUAAUCUAGUUAGAGACGAAAACGACAUUCUAUCUCUCAACACCAAUUGGAGACAAUUUUUUCGUCUUUAAAUAAUCCAGUCAGAUCAACUAUUCCCUUCCCAUUUGCUGCCAGAACAAUAAUCGAAGCUACUAUAGACCAUAGUGCUACUUGAGGUAUGUAGCUUUUCCAUAAAUGUAAAGAUUUUAAAGUCUUCUGUGAGGGCCCACUUCCAAAAAUCCCUCUAGCUUAGGAAUUCGAGAAGAAGUCCCCACAAAAUUGAUACAUAUACAUUUUAAAAUAAUUGCAUUCCCAAUUUUGUUCACUAACAAUAGGAACCAAAAUAAAUAUUUACAACAUCAGUCAUUCAAUGCAUUCCUUAGGGCUCAACCGCCCUUACAACUCAAAAUAAAAGGGUAAUAAAAUUUAAAUACAAAAUAAAUCGCCUCAUUCACGCCCUCAAAACAAAUCCCCAAGGACUUUUUGAUUGGGACAACUCUGUACACAUACUAUCCCAUUAGGGGUCAAGCUCCACUUCCCUCAACCUCGACUACUACCUUUCCUUUAUCUGAAAUCAUGUAGAAGCAAAGAUAAGCCACAAAGCUCAACAAGUAUAAAAUGAAAUAAAUACGAAGCAUUAUGAACCAUCGACAUGAACAACAAGAAAUGAGUAAGGGAGGACCACCUACCACAUUUGUAAACCAUAUCAUAUUGUAAUACAUACAUGCAUAUAUCCGCAUAUUAUCACACUGUGAAUAUGAGAAUGCAAAUACACGCAUAGGUGCACAUAUACUCACACGGCUCUUGGGGCCCAUUCAACUUAGCUCCACCCAAGGCCUACACACUCAUACAUACACCAUAUGGUCUUUGGGGCCCAUUCAAGAUUUAGCUUUACCCAAAACCAACAUAGUCCUUGGGGCCCAUUUAAGAUUUAGCUCCACCCGAGGCCUUGAAACACAUAGCCAACCAUAAACAAAGUAACCAUAUGCAUAAAGAUUUUCCUACCUCUACUCACACAUGGUGAUACAAUAGCUCAAUAUCAUAGACAUAAAACCCAUUUUAUACACAUAUAAUCAUGCAUCAUUACAAAUUUUGCCUAGUUUACCCUUAUGGAUGAAUUUCUCCUUCCUAGGACUAAAAUCAAAGCUCUAAUCAUCAAUUGGGCUUAACAAUAAUUUAUUUGAAGAAUGGGGAGAAGAAUGAAAAUGUUUUAAAAAGAAAGGAUAGAAAAAAGGGCAAAAUCAGUUGACAGUCACCAAGAAACAAUCAAUCAUUUUUGUGUUUUGGAAGGAAGCGAUAGACGAUUUCUCCCCCCACAGACCACGAACAGUCAAUAGUCUCAGGAAAACGGUUGACACUAAGAACAUCAUCCUCUUGGAUUCCAACGGUCGAUAGCCAUUGCACCAAAACAAUCGACAUGAAUCAAAAAACGAUUGACAUCCUUGCCACAACUGUCGACAGCUAGACACAUUUCUCCAAAAUGGUCGACAGCCUCUGCAUAUAUUGUCAACCGCCCUAUAUCGAGAAGCAACAUGAAGACCACAACCAAGGAAAAAAAAAUGCAUACAAGAACACCAAAUCUUGCAUUGCUCUAACCCUAAUAAAAAAAUGCAACAUUCCUUGAAGAAUGGAGGGUGAUACAAUACCCUAUUGAGACUUUGAAUGAGGACCAUCAAAAAUCUAAGAAGACCCACAAAGCUUACAACCCAAAUAGGAUAAUACACAUUUAUUAGGAAUGGGGGUUUUCAAGAACCAAAACCACAAGGAAAUGGAAGAUUCAAUAGCUCCAAUUGAAGAAGAAAAUAAGGCUUGCUUAUGAAAAGAAGAAGAAAAUGAACUUGCAUAUGGAAAGAAGAGAGAAAACAAAAGGAACUUGCCUUAACUCGGAUAGUUGGACCGAAGAGAAGAUGCAGUCGUUGGAAUUGAAAUCCCUCUUACUUGAAGCUCCAAAAUCAAAAAGAAGAAGGAAGAAAGAAAGGAGAAGAAAUUGGGAGAAGAGCAAGAAGGGGAAGAAAGAGAAAGAAGAUGAAGAAUGGGGGAGGAGUAGCUUGCAUGCCACUUUUCACCAACUCUCUCUUUUUCUUUUUCUUUUUCUUUUUCUUUUAUUCUGCAAUUCAACAUAUACCCACAAAUACACACAUAUUACCCACACACACACAACCAGAAACCCAUUGUGCAAUUGCAACCUUCCUAUUUUGAACUUUCAACCAUCUUAGCUUUUGACUUCUCAACCCUCUUGGUUCUUGACUUUUCCACAAAAUCACAUUCAUUAACCUUGACUUUUCCACAUAAUCUCAUUUACCAAAUUUGACUUUUCAAACAUAAUGCUAUCCUCAUUAUUUUUUGCCUCUUUCACAACAGAUAAAAUAUUUUCAAGACAUUGCUCAAAUAAUAACAUCAUAGAGCCCUAGACCCACUAACAGGUUAUUACAUCUUUUCUCAUUCAAAUGCUAAAUUAAUUAUGUAUUUUUUAUGAUUAUUAUUUAGAAUUGAAGGCCAUGGCUACCCCAAAUCAAUGUAGUAAUGGUUCUAGGUCGCUAAUAUGACAAAAAUAAACUUGUAUGGAAGUAUGUGACUAAAUUGGAAAGAAUAUAAGGAGUGGAAAUUUGUCUUUUACUUGUAAUUACUAUAAUAUCAUAUUCAAGGGGUC